rnacentral:misc_RNA from 1 species
AAUCAUUGCCAGGCUUUUUCCCGACCCAACUUCCAUCUUGUCCCUAACUUCCACUCUUCCUCAAGACAAGCCCCAAUUUCUUCUGUCUCCUUCUCCUCCUUCCACUUGCAUAUAUGUGUGCUUCACAGUUUCAAACAAAAACUCCAUUGGCUUUACCUUUCAAGCCACCAUUUCUACUGCUUUUGUUCAUAUUUUUAUUGCUUUCAGCUCUGAGUUUGUGUUUUUGUAUGCUUAGUUUAUGGAGCUUCAACUAGGUCUUUCCCUCUCAACCACCCACAAUCCUAUUGAUGGAUCGGACAUAAACAACAAAGAGUUCGACCCAAAAGAGAUUCUGAGCUUGAAACCAUGGAGCCAUGAUUAUGGUUGUUUAUUGGACAAGAAACGUAGCUUUGAAGACGCCUUUGGAAAGUUGAAAGAUGCAUCACAAACUUUGCCUUUGCUUUUAUGGAGUGGCCAUCCUAAUGACGAAGAUGAUGACAAGAGAGAAAAGAAGAGGCUCUCUUGCCGCCUUAGCAAAAUUCAUGAAGAGGUACUGGAGGAAGAUGAUCUUGUGGUAGGUUGGCCACCCAUUAAAUCAUGGAGGAAGAAAAUGCUUCGCCAGCGACAAGUUGGUGACCGGAUUGUCAAGAAUCGGGUGGCUGCUGCUGCUGGUGGUUCAGAAAAUAAUGGUGGUUCAAAUUCCAUGUAUGUGAAGGUGAAGAUGGAAGGAGUGGCAAUAGCAAGGAAGGUUGAUCUUAGGCUUUUCCACUCAUAUCAGACACUUACAAGCUCCUUGAUCAGCAUGUUUGACAAAUGCCUGCAACUUGAGAAAGAUAAUGCAAAUUACACGUUGGCAUACCAAGACAAAGAUGGUGAUUGGCUACUUGCAGGAGAUGUUCCAUGGCAGACUUUCAUAGUAUCUGUUCAGCGUCUGGAU